GGCUGGGUCCUUAGGGUCUCACAGGGUCAAAAUGGAGGCAGAUGCUGGAUGGCGCGCUUAUCUGGACGUCCUUGAGAAGAAGAAUCAGCUUUCGACCUCCUUCAGGCUGUUGACAGAAUUCAGAUCCUGUGGCUGGUGAGGACGGAGGACCCCUUCCUUGCUGGCUGUCAGGAUGCAGGUUCCCAGGUACUGCUACAAGGCUGAUGGAGAAAGGGAUGGCAACAGGAGCGUCAGACAAAGAAGCUCAUUCUAUAGACCCAGCAGGGCCAGCACUGACCAACAGAUGACCAGGCAAUUUGAAAGGAAGAGAGGAUUUAGGCGCCAUACUCAAGGUUACCUGGGUAAGAAAUGAUGGAGCAAGAAUGUCACCCAUGGGACCACACCCCUGAAUCUAUAAAUUGGAGUGUUUCUGCAAAUUCUAAGAGGUUCUUAACAUUAUCCAGAAUGGUGCCCUGGUGGACGAUCAUGCACCUUG
rnacentral:lncRNA from 1 species